ACUCCUACGGGAGGCAGCAGUGGGGAAUUGUUCGCAAUGGGCGCAAGCCUGACGAUGCAACGCCGCGUGGAGGAUGAAGAUCUUCGGGUCGUAAACUCCUGUCGAGCGGGACGAAAGAUCCGCGACCUAAUACGUCGUGGAAGUGACGGUACCGCUAGAGGAAGCCCCGGCUAACUCCGUGCCAGCAGCCGCGGUAAUACGGGGGGGGCUAGCGUUGUUCGGAAUUACUGGGCGUAAAGGGCUCGUAGGUGGCCAACUAAGUCAUGCGUGAAAUCCCUCGGCUUAACCGGGGAACUGCGUUGAUACUGGAUGGCUUGAAUCCGGGAGAGGGAUGCGGAAUUCCAGGUGUAGCGGUGAAAUGCGUAGAUAUUGGAGGAACACCGGUGGCGAAGGCGGCAUCCUGGACCGGCAUUGACACUGAGGAGCGAAAGCCAGGGGAGCAAACGGGAUUAGAUACCCCGGUAGUCCUGGCCCUAAACGAUGAAUGCUUGGUGUGACGGGUAUCGAUCCCUGUCGUGCCGAAGCUAACG
rnacentral:rRNA from 1 species